GGGUUGUGAGGUUAAGCGACUAAGCGUACACGGUGGAUGCCCUGGCAGUCAGAGGCGAUGAAGGACGUGCUAAUCUGCGAUAAGCGUCGGUAAGGUGAUAUGAACCGUUAUAACCGGCGAUUUCCGAAUGGGGAAACCCAGUGUGAUUCGUCACACUAUCAUUAACUGAAUCCAUAGGUUAAUGAGGCGAACCGGGGGAACUGAAACAUCUAAGUACCCCGAGGAAAAGAAAUCAACCGAGAUUCCCCCAGUAGCGGCGAGCGAACGGGGAGSAGCCCAGAGCCUGAAUCAGUGUGUGUGUUAGUGGAAGCGUCUGGAAAGGCGCGCGAUACAGGGUGACAGCCCCGUACACAAAAAU
rnacentral:rRNA from 1 species